CGGACGGGUGAGUAACGCGUAUCCAACCUGCCGUCUACUCUUGGACAGCCUUCUGAAAGGAAGAUUAAUACAAGAUGGCAUCAUGAGUCCGCAUGUUCACAUGAUUAAAGGUAUUCCGGUAGACGAUGGGGAUGCGUUCCAUUAGAUAGUAGGCGGGGUAACGGCCCACCUAGUCUUCGAUGGAUAGGGGUUCUGAGAGGAAGGUCCCCCACAUUGGAACUGAGACACGGUCCAA
rnacentral:rRNA from 1 species